AGGCUGCAACUCGCCUGCAUGAAGUUGGAAUUGCUAGUAAUCGCGAAUCAGAAUGUCGCGGUGAAUACGUUCCCGGGCCUUGUACACACCGCCCGUCACACCAUGAGAGUCGAUAACACCCGAAGCCUGUGAGCUAACCUUUUAGGAGGCAGCAGUCGAAGGUGGGGUUGAUGAUUGGGGUGAAGUCGUAACAAGGUAUC
rnacentral:rRNA from 1 species